UAUUGUAUUUAUUGUAUUUUUAUGAUAAAUAUUUGCGUAGUUUUGUCAUAAAUCAUAAAAAUACAAUAAAUACAAUAUAGUUAUGUUUCUGUGGUGGCGAACAAACGUUUCGUGAAAAUAUCCACCCCCCCUGUCAUGUGUCCACGAGAAGUUUUCGCGAAGAUUGCCCGUGACUUUCAAAUGAUUUGUUUUUUAUUUUGAACCUAAAUGGUAUACGGGAGGGUUUUUCCUUCCAAAUGGGACAAAUAUUGUCAAAUUUUCGAUUGGGACUAUUCUACAAUGAACUACUCUUGGAUACUUUAAUCUAAAUACAUAUGAAAACGAAGAAGUGGCAUUUAUCGGACAGAGAAGCGGCGAGCCAUUAAAAUGGCGGCAAUUUGACGAAAUAUCGAAGGACACAAACUUCACGAAACUUGGUUGAAAUAUUCUUUAGCCCUUUAUGAUUAUGUAAAAGUACAACAACUGGAUGAUAUUUGCGAGACUCGGCGAUAAAAAGCAAACAAGACGGCAAAGUAUGGCUGAAAUCGUGUUUUCGUGGGGGGUAAGUGAAAUAAAAUGUGUUAUAUUAAAAGAAAACAAUGACAAUCCUUAUGAAAUCCACAAUAAUUAUAUUGAACUAAGCAUAGUUUUUCAUCCCAUGAUAAUUUUUUUUAGGAAAUAAGAAAACUUAAUUUCUGCCAGGCAUAUUAGUUAUUUUGUACAUAAUCAGCAAUUUACCUGGGGUGGUGCAUAGCAUUUUCUGGUAAAAUAUUAUACUUAGACAAAUUUUUCCUUCCAAUGACCACCCCUAAAAUCAACCCUUCUGAACACCAUAAGCACUUCAGAAAGGCUGUCGCUUUUCCUUUUCGGAAAUUAGAGCUAUGUCGACACUGCCGUUUCAGGGCGGGGUCAUUUUCAGGACUUUCGUCCCGGAUUCAGGUUUUCGCACAUAUUCCAUGUUGAUCGCCAUGGUCAUUUUACCCUAAAACAGGUGAGAUUACCUACAGUCCUAAAUGAAUCGCAUACAAACUCAUAUACAGGUCCUAGACUAAUUGCCAAGAUUUAUAUAAACCUGCCCGUGCCGAACAAAUUUCGUCGGCUAUCUUUCUUCUUUUGCAC